rnacentral:rRNA from 1 species
UACGUAGGGGGCGAGCGUUGUCCGGAUUUAUUGGGCGUAAAGAGCUCGUAGGCGGUUUGGUAAGUCGGGUGUGAAAUCUCCACGCUCAACGUGGAGGGGCCACUCGAUACUGCCAUGACUCGAGUCCGGUAGAGGAGUGUGGAAUUCCCGGUGUAGCGGUGAAAUGUGCAGAUAUCGGGAGGAACACCCGUAGCGAAGGCGGCACUCUGGGCCGGAACUGACGCUGAGGAGCGAAAGCGUGGGGAGCAAACAGG